AUGCCUCCAUCGCUCUCCUCCCUCCGCUCCCUCUUCGCGAGGACGCUGGGCCUGGGCUCGGGCGCCGCCGAGCACAGCGGGGAUGAGGAGUCGCAGCCGCAGGCCGGAGGGGCUGGCGGGCCGUCGAGCGGCAGGCGGCCGGCGCCGGCGGGGCCUCCGGGGGAGUGUUACGCGUGCACGCAGCCGGGGGUGCCGGCGUUCCACUCCACGACGUGCGACCAGGUGCACUCGCCGGGCUGGGACGCCGACGCCGGCUCCUCGCUAGUGCCCGUGCAGGCGCAGCAGCUGCGGGCGCAGCCCCUCCCGGGGGCGGCCGCCGUCGCGGCCGCGCGGUGGCUGUUCGGGCCGGUGCUGGACCCGCGGAGCAAGCGCGUGCAGCGCUGGAACCGCUGGAUCCUGCUGGGCCGCGCGGCGGCGCUGGCCGUGGACCCGCUCUUCUUCUACGCGCUCUCCAUCGGCCGCGCGGGGCGGCCCUGCAUGUACAUGGACGCCGGGCUCGCCGCCGCCGUCACCGCGCUGCGCACCUGCGCCGACGUGGCCCACCUCGCCCACGUCCUCGUCCAGUUCCGCCUCGCCUACGUCUCCCGCGAGUCGCUCGUCGUCGGCUGCGGCAAGCUGGUCUGGGACCCGCGCGCCAUCGCCGCGCACUACGCCCGCUCCCUCAAGGGCCUCUGCUUCGACCUCUUCGUCAUCCUCCCCAUCCCCCAGUGUAGUGGCGGAGAUCUCAUUUCACCACUCCCUCUCGUGUGGCUGGUGUUCCUGCAACUGACUCAUUUUUCGCUGAUUAAUUAUUUACCGGUCUUUGUCGUCCAGAUCAUCUUCUGGCUGGUUAUACCAAAGUUAAUCAGAGAAGAGCAAGUUAAAGUUAUCAUGACGAUACUGCUGCUCAUAUUCGUAUUGCAAUUUCUCCCCAAGGUGUACCAUAGUAUAUAUAUCAUGAGGAAAAUGCAGAAGGUGACAGGUUACAUCUUUGGAACAGUAUGGUGGGGAUUUGGUCUGAAUCUAUUUGCCUAUUUCAUUGCCUCUCAUAUUGCAGGUGGGUGUUGGUACGUUCUCGCGAUUCAGCGUGUUGCCUCCUGCCUACAAUCGGAAUGCGAGAUAAACAACAACUGCAAUUUGAUGUCACUGGCUUGCUCCAAGGAGAUGUGCUUUCACUUCCCUUGGUCAUCAGACAUGACUGCAUUAGCAUGCGAUACGAACUUAACUUCUUUCAGCCAACAAAAUGUGCCGGCCUGUCUAAGUGGCAAUGGCGCCUUUGCUUAUGGAAUCUACAAGGGAGCCCUUCCUGUUAUCUCGAGCAAUUCACUUGCUGUCAAAAUUCUCUAUCCCAUAUUCUGGGGCCUCAUGACCCUCAGUACUUUUGGCAAUGAUCUUGAGCCGACGAGCAACUGGCUUGAGGUGAUAUUCAGCAUCAUCAAUGUACUCAGUGGGCUGAUGCUCUUCACGCUGCUGAUCGGAAACAUACAGGUAUUCUUGCACGCCGUGCUGGCGAGGAAGCGGAAGAUGCAGCUGCGGUUCCGGGACAUGGAGUGGUGGAUGAGGCGGCGGCAGCUGCCGUCCCGGCUGCGGCAGCGGGUCCGGAAGUACGAGCGGGAGCGGUGGGCGGCCAUCACCGGCGACGAGGAGAUGGAGAUGAUCAAGGACCUGCCGGAGGGCCUCCGGCGGGACAUCAAGCGGUACCUGUGCCUGGAGCUGGUGAAGCAGGUGCCCCUGUUCCACGGCAUGGACGAGCUGAUCCUGGACAACAUCUGCGACCGGCUGCGGCCCCUGGUGUUCUGCGGCGGCGAGAAGGUGAUCCGGGAGGGCGACCCGGUGCAGCGCAUGGUGUUCAUCCUGCAGGGGCGGCUGCGGAGCACGCAGCCGCUGACCAAGGGCGUGGUGGCGGAGUGCGUGCUGGGGGCGGGGAGCUUCCUGGGCGACGAGCUGCUGUCGUGGUGUCUGCGGCGGCCAUUCGUGGACCGGCUGCCGGCGUCGUCCGCCACGUUCGAGUGCGUGGAGGCGGCGCAGGCCUUCUGCCUCGACGCGCCGGACCUGCGGUACAUCACGGAGCACUUCCGGUACAAGUUCGCCAACGACAAGCUCAAGCGCACCGCGCGGUACUACUCGUCCAACUGGCGGACGUGGGCGGCCGUCAACGUGCAGCUCGCGUGGCGGCGGUACAGGGCGAGGGUGAUGGCGACGGCGGUGCUCCCGCCGCCGCCGGCCGGCGCGGCGGGGCCCGAGGACGGGGACCGCCGGCUGCGCCAUUACGCGGCCAUGUUCAUGUCGCUCAGGCCGCACGACCACCUCGAGUAG
rnacentral:rRNA from 1 species